ensembl:lncRNA
UCCAGAUUUAUUUAUUCAUGUAUUUUUAUUUUUUCAUGUGCCACAGAAAGGACACUGUUUUAGUAACUAAUGGAUAAUUAAUCUAGAAACCUGCGUGUUGAAGCUCUGAGAGGCUGGACCAGAAAAACAAAGAUCAACACACUGAGCACAAAGAGGAAAAAAAUUUGGCUUGCCGGAGUUUCCAUCUGUUGGAGUCACUGAAGUCGAGUCAUCUGAGGUCACUGAUGGAGUCGUUCUUCACGCAAGAGUCCGAGCACGUGACAGAGUCUCGUCUAGCUCCAUGAGUUUUGAUGUUUUUUUUUCCUCCUCUCUGAAAGAAGUGACAGGCCAUAAAGGAGAAGUGACGUGGAGGAGUUAUUCACUGAGGCCUGUGGUAUUCCAUGUGUGGUUAUCUACAUCUUAAACUUGUCACAAACUGCUGAAAAGACAAACUUAAAAAAAAAUUACAAUACACCACUAUAGCUAUAACAAGGUGACAGCUGACAACUUUCUGCACAGUCACAGAGCAUUUAAAUCUAAACACACACUCGUGAUUCAGAGAGGUUGUUGUUGUGGUUUUCAGGGUGUUCACACUAAAUAAAAAGUCGUCUUUUAGUUGUUUUGACGGAUUUAUUAAAACGGACUAUUCCCCAGUAUUUUCCAUGCUGUAAUAUUCUGAGAAGUCAUAAGCCGCCCCCACAGUAGUAACAAAUUUAAUUGCUAGAGAAGAAAACCAGAGCCUAUGACUCGCUGAUCAUCUCAAUAAAAAGCAGCUCAAAGGCUGUGUUCUUGGACUUGCCUGCAUUAUCAGGAUAAUCAAGAUAUGCAUCCACAGAAUUUUUUGUGAAUGCAUCCUCUUCUGUGUUAAAAAAUAAAAAAAUUAAAAUAAAAAAUAAGGUCACUUUUUGAAUUGUUUCUGUAAAAUUGUUUCUGAGUUUCAAAUUCAGUGAAAAGUCAU